GAUGAACGCUAGCGGCAGGCUUAAUACAUGCAAGUCGAGGGGGCAGCAAUGUCACCGGCGGACGGGUGCGUAACGCGUAUGGAACCUACCUUUAUCAGGGGGAUAGCCCGGGGAAACCCGGAUUAAUACCGCAUAAUAUAUUGAACGGCAUCGUUUAAUAUUGAAAGAUUUAUUGGAUAGAGAUGGUCAUGCGUAGGAUUAGCUAGUUGGUAAGGUAACGGCUUACUAAGGCGACGAUCCUUAGGGGCUCUGAGAGGAGUAACCCCCACACUGGCACUGGGAUACGGGCCAGACUCCUACGGGAGGCAGCAGUAGGGAAUAUUGGGCAAUGGGCGAGAGCCUGACCCAGCCAUGCCGCGUGCAGGAAGACGGCCCUCUGGGUUGUAAACUGCUUUUGAAUGGGAAGAACGGUAAGCCUGCGGGCUUAAUUGACGGUACCAUUAGAAUAAGCCACGGCUAACUACGUGCCAGCAGCCGCGGUAA
rnacentral:rRNA from 1 species